ACCAUGCAUGCUGACCUCCAUUUUCAGGAAAGGACUGGGAAAUAGCACUGGUUCCUGCAGACUUCUGGGAUUUUCCAAGGGAUUUAAGAAUCAACAUCUCCUACAAAGUCUAUGCUGGGAAAAAUGCUGAAGGAAAGGAAAAUAAUGUCAGCUGGUGGUGUCAUCCCUCAUGGAAAACAUUCUGAGGAGGACAGCACAAUAAAACUUGGGAGUGAAGGUGUCACUUCUGUGUUUAAAUGGCGGUGAACUGAAACAGAGAUAAUAUUUGGAUUUGGGAUACAAUACCAAGAUCUGUCCCUGGCUUUCUUCACAUGGGUUCCUAGAUGGUGACUCCAUGACUUAGAAAGAGUAGAUUUCUCAUCUCAUCCACCCGACGCUACACCUUUUAAUUCUUUCCACCAUCCCAGAACUCAAAAGGUAACCUAUCUGACACCUCCCACCCUCUGUCAUGCCCCCAGAACCAGACUCUUUUUUUCCUCCCCAAAGCUGAUAGCAAGAGAAUAUCACCAUUUUUCAAAAGGAAGUGUUCCCCCCGCUCCUUUUCCUUCAUUAUGCAGCCUUUACUUCAAUGGGACUACUCACAUGCUUAAAUUACAUUGUAGAAUCAGGACCGUAACUAGGUAACCUAUUUUAAAGCAUUGUUCCUCCUAAUAGCAUAUAUCAUUUUGUCUGGUCAGCUAUAAUUUCAUUGUUAGGGACUGCAUUUAAAAGUCUUCUCGUCAUUAUCUGUAGGUGGCAGAAUCUACAAUGUAACAUACUGUGCUGGAUCUGUCUAAGUCUCUUUUCCUCCUGAUUGUGGUAUAUGAACCUCAAAAUCUGCUACAUUUUGUUGGACCUGCAGAUAUCGUUAGCAAAAUUUUAGCAAUUUCACCCAUCUAUCCAACAAGACAGAUUUAUAAGUAGAGAGCCAGCCAUCAAUUUGAGGAAAAUCUCUCCCACUUGGGAAUAGUAAUGACCCUCGUGUUCACAUAUUACUGUGCCUUGGGGUAUAAUACUUUUGCUUUCAAAAGUCCCUAUGUGGAAGGGACCAUCUCUGAGACAGAAAGAGUCUUUAUUCUGACUCAAAGUGGUUAAGUCAUCAUAUCACUAAUGGAACAAAAACAGCUAAGCAGGGACCUGCUCUGUUUUGUCACAAAAGUCAGGCACUGGCCAUACUGGUGGAGAUUAUCAUUAUCACAUAUUACUGAGCCAAGAAUAAUAGAAGUGUUCCAUUUUACAUCAUAUCUUGCUUUAAUAUAAGCAGUUCAAGUUUCUAUUUUGAUUAUUCUUUAAUUUAAUCUUUUAGUAGAAAGCUGGUAUUUAAGUAUACAUUGGACAAAAUAAUGUGAAUCACCUUUGUAACAAAUAAAACCAGGAAAUUCACUGUUACCUAUUAUGGAUGCCUAUUUACUUACUCAUGUUUUCUCUUGUUACUGAAGAGUUGACUGAAUUACAACUGUUAUAUCAUGAAAGAUUGCCAUUUCUAACAAAGACCAAAAGAGGA